AGUAAGGGGCUGAGUGGGGGAGGGAAUCGCUCGCAGGGGUGUGAAUCCGUGCAAAAGAGCCCCCAGGGGUGUGAAUUCGUGCAAAGGUGCCCCAGGGGUGUGAAUUCUGCACUGACCCCCCCCCCAUCGGGAGAAGUUGGUGCCGGGUGCUGAGCUGGGAUGACCCCGGAGGAAUGGACCUACCUGGCCGUGCUGCUUUUCUCUAUCCCCAUUGGCUUUGUCUUCAAGAGAGGGGGACACCAAGUGAAGCAGUUUGGGGGGGCAGCUGUGGGGCUGCUCCUGACGCUGGUCACCUGCAACAUCCACACCUUGCACUCGCUGGUCACCAUCCUGGGCACAUGGGUCAUCCUCCGCCUCUCCCCAAGGUAAGGAAGGAGCUAGGACACCUGGGAGAGGAGUGAGGUC